rnacentral:rRNA from 1 species
CACGUAGGCGGCUUGUUAAGUCUGGGGUGAAAUCUCCCGGCUCAACCGGGAGGGGUCCUCGGAUACUGGCAGGCUGGAGGGGAGCAGAGGAGAGCGGAAUUCCCGGUGUAGUGGUGAAAUGCGUAGAUAUCGGGAGGAACACCAGUGGCGAAGGCGGCUCUCUGGGCUCUACCUGACGCUGAGGUGCGAAAGCGUGGGGAGCGAACCGGAUUAGAUACCCGGGUAGCCCACGCUGUAAACGAUGGACACUAGGUGUGGGGGGUAUCGACCCCCUCCGUGCCGAAGCUAACGCUAUAAGUGUCCCGCCUGGGGAGUACGGCCGCAAGGCUAAA